rnacentral:rRNA from 1 species
UACGGGAGGCAGCAGUGGGGAAUAUUGGACAAUGGGCGAAAGCCUGAUCCAGCCAUGCCGCGUGUGUGAAGAAGGUCUUCGGAUUGUAAAGCACUUUAAGUUGGGAGGAAGGGCAUUAACCUAAUACGUUAGUGUUUUGACGUUACCGACAGAAUAAGCACCGGCUAACUCUGUGCCAGCAGCCGCGGUAAU